ensembl:lncRNA
UAAUAUACUCCUUAUAUUCACUACUGAUUUAGACUAAGUUUUAAAUUCUGAUGUUUUAGAUUUAGAUGAUUUUUCUUUAUGGAUUAAUGUCUGUUUAUUUAUGUGUUUCCCCUGCAGAAGAGGGAUGUGUUUGGACCACACAGUGUUCAGGGACAUGUGGAUGGAUGUAAUGAUGGACAUCCGCUCGUGGACAGGUAAGACUUCUAACUUGUGUUUUUGUUUUGUUGUGUUCUAAACAUGUAGGUUACCAUCAUUUUCUUUUUGGAGGGUGACUCCUCUAGAAAGCAAAUGAUGGUAACCUAAACAGGUGGGGAAGGGACGGCGGAGCUGAAAAUUUAUACAGCAAAAUUUUAUUUAUUUUUUCGGCCAAGAAGUAUAACCCCUGCUGGACAUGGUGCCGGGGCUCGGGGGGGACCCGAAUCAUCCCCAUCCCUUCAUUCACACAACACUCACUCAUAUCGCGGAGAUCUGGCUGGGAUCGAACCAGCAACCUCUGAACCGUGAGGCAGCGCUCUUACCUAGAGAUGAAACUGGACAUGCCACGCUCGUCUGGAAGAGAUGAUGAUAUGCAGGAUCCAGUGACAAAUCCUGAAAAGCUGAGAGCUCAUAUCACGUUUUUAACUUUUAUAUAAAGUGAACAGUGUAGCACUACAUUCACAGCUUUUUUGGGGGGGAUAAAAGUUUCUUGUUAACAAGAAACUGAUUAAUAAUAAUACAUUAAUGUAUUUACUCACCCAUGGAUGCUAGUAGUAUCCAAAAAUAAUAUCCCACCAAGACAAUCUAAAGAUGGGGGAAAAUAAGGCUAUCAAGAGUGAGAGAGUCUGUUUGGAAACCUAACUUAUAUAAAGUGACAGUAUCUCUUCUGAAGGAUCGAUACAAAGGAUUUGGAGGGACCAAGUAAGAAAGGAGUGGGCAGAGCUAGUGAGAGAAAGCCAACUCCUCUUAAACUUUACAGAAGAAUACAGAAAAGAAAUGUAGCAUCAAAAGUGUUACAUGUGACAGCUUUUAAAAGAAAGCUGUGCUUCACAUUACAUUUCAAAUAAAAUGAAAAUACAGCACA